AUUGUCAAGAUGAAGUUGGCAGCAGCUAUCGUGAUCAUCACGCUACACCAUUCUUUUGCUACAGCUGUUUUCAGUAAAGUCGGCAAGCUCAAAUUUCGAAAUAGAACAUGCAUCUACACUCUGGGAGAUCCACGAAAUCCAUACAAAUUGGGAAACAGUGUUGAGCUGAGGUUACAGCAUCCUUGUAUAAGCGUCUACUGUAACAUCACUUCUCGUUCACUGACCGUAUUAGGGUGUCCUCCGCCCCAAAACUACAAAAAUGAAGACACAAAUCCAUAUUGGCCAAACUGCUGCAAGAAAAAGAACUGAGCUAUUGUGGUCUCAAAGCGCAUACGUUACUUCUGAGUCAUCUGAAACUAAUCUAGUGGUGUACUACGAUUUGAUUUUUGAAAUAAUGCGAAAGUUGGACGAAUGUACAAUAAAGCCGCCGUU